rnacentral:rRNA from 1 species
CUCAUGACGAACGCUGGCGGCGUGCCUAAUACAUGCAAGUAGAACGCUGAAGAGAGGAGCUUGCUCUUCUUGGAUGAGUUGCGAACGGGUGAGUAACGCGUAGGUAACCUGCCUUGUAGCGGGGGAUAACUAUUGGAAACGAUAGCUAAUACCGCAUAACAAUGGAUGACACAUGUCAUUUAUUUGAAAGGGGCAAUUGCUCCACUACAAGAUGGACCUGCGUUGUAUUAGCUAGUAGGUGAGGUAACGGCUCACCUAGGCGACGAUACAUAGCCGACCUGAGAGGGUGAUCGGCCACACUGGGACUGAGACACGGCCCAGACUCCUACGGGAGGCAGCAGUAGGGAAUCUUCGGCAAUGGGGGCAACCCUGACCGAGCAACGCCGCGUGAGUGAAGAAGGUUUUCGGAUCGUAAAGCUCUGUUGUAAGUCAAGAACGAGUGUGAGAGUGGAAAGUUCACACUGUGACGGUAGCUUACCAGAAAGGGACGGCUAACUACGUGCCAGCAGCCGCGGUAAUACGUAGGUCCCGAGCGUUGUCCGGAUUUAUUGGGCGUAAAGCGAGCGCAGGCGGUUUGAUAAGUCUGAAGUUAAAGGCUGUGGCUCAACCAUAGUUCGCUUUGGAAACUGUCAAACUUGAGUGCAGAAGGGGAGAGUGGAAUUCCAUGUGUAGCGGUGAAAUGCGUAGAUAUAUGGAGGAACACCGGUGGCGAAAGCGGCUCUCUGGUCUGUAACUGACGCUGAGGCUCGAAAGCGUGGGGAGCGAACAGGAUUAGAUACCCUGGUAGUCCACGCCGUAAACGAUGAGUGCUAGGUGUUGGAUCCUUUCCGGGAUUCAGUGCCGCAGCUAACGCAUUAAGCACUCCGCCUGGGGAGUACGACCGCAAGGUUGAAACUCAAAGGAAUUGACGGGGGCCCGCACAAGCGGUGGAGCAUGUGGUUUAAUUCGAAGCAACGCGAAGAACCUUACCAGGUCUUGACAUCCCGAUGCUAUUUCUAGAGAUAGAAAGUUACUUCGGUACAUCGGUGACAGGUGGUGCAUGGUUGUCGUCAGCUCGUGUCGUGAGAUGUUGGGUUAAGUCCCGCAACGAGCGCAACCCCUAUUGUUAGUUGCCAUCAUUCAGUUGGGCACUCUAGCGAGACUGCCGGUAAUAAACCGGAGGAAGGUGGGGAUGACGUCAAAUCAUCAUGCCCCUUACGACCUGGGCUACACACGUGCUACAAUGGUUGGUACAACGAGUUGCGAGUCGGUGACGGCAAGCUAAUCUCUUAAAGCCAAUCUCAGUUCGGAUUGUAGGCUGCAACUCGCCUACAUGAAGUCGGAAUCGCUAGUAAUCGCGGAUCAGCACGCCGCGGUGAAUACGUUCCCGGGCCUUGUACACACCGCCCGUCACACCACGAGAGUUUGUAACACCCGAAGUCGGUGAGGUAACCUUUUGGAGCCAGCCGCCUAAGGUG